UAGUCAAACUCAUGCUAUUUAACAUCAA
rnacentral:piRNA from 1 species